AGAGUUUGAUCCUGGCUCAGGACGAACGCUGGCGGCGUGCUUAACACAUGCAAGUCGAACGGAAAGGCCCUUCGGGGUACUCGAGUGGCGAACGGGUGAGUAACACGUGGGUGAUCUGCCCUGCACUUUGGGAUAAGCCUGGGAAACUGGGUCUAAUACCGAAUAUGACCAUGCACUUCCUGGUGUGUGGUGGAAAGCUUUUGCGGUGUGGGAUGGGCCCGCGGCCUAUCAGCUUGUUGGUGGGGUAAUGGCCUACCAAGGCGACGACGGGUAGCCGGCCUGAGAGGGUGACCGGCCACACUGGGACUGAGAUACGGCCCAGACUCCUACGGGAGACAGCAGUGGGGAAUAUUGCACAAUGGGCGCAAGCCUGAUGCAGCGACGCCGCGUGAGGGAUGACGGCCUUCGGGUUGUAAACCUCUUUCAGCACAGACGAAGCGCAAGUGACGGUAUGUGCAGAAGAAGGACCGGCCAACUACGUGCCAGCAGCCGCGGUAAUACGUAGGGUCCGAGCGUUGUCCGGAAUUACUGGGCGUAAAGAGCUCGUAGGUGGUUUGUCGCGUUGUUCGUGAAAACUCACAGCUUAACUGUGGGCGUGCGGGCGAUACGGGCAGACUAGAGUACUGCAGGGGAGACUGGAAUUCCUGGUGUAGCGGUGGAAUGCGCAGAUAUCAGGAGGAACACCGGUGGCGAAGGCGGGUCUCUGGGCAGUAACUGACGCUGAGGAGCGAAAGCGUGGGGAGCGAACAGGAUUAGAUACCCUGGUAGUCC
rnacentral:rRNA from 1 species